rnacentral:rRNA from 1 species
UACGUAGGGUGCGAGCGUUAAUCGGAAUUACUGGGCGUAAAGUGUGCGCAGGUGGCCGCGCAAGUCGAGUGUGAAAUCCCCGAGCUUAACUUGGGAAUUGCGCUCGAAACUACGUGGCUCGAGUGUGGCAGAGGAAGGUGGAAUUCCACGUGUAGCGGUGAAAUGCGUAGAGAUGUGGAGGAACACCGGUGGCGAAGGCAGCCUUCUGGGCCAACACUGACGCUCAUGCACGAAAGCGUGGGGAGCAAACAGG